GAUGUACGCUGGCGGCGUGCCUUAUAUAUGUAAGUCGAGCGAACGGACGAGAAGCUUGCUUUUCUGAUGUUAGCGGCGGACGGGUGAGUAACACGUGGAUAACCUACCUAUAAGACUGGGAUAACUUCGGGAAACCGGAGCUAAUACCGGAUAAUAUUUUGAACCGCAUGGUUCAAAAGUGAAAGACGGUCUUGCUGUCACUUAUAGAUGGAUCCGCGCUGCAUUAGCUAGUUGGUAAGGUAACGGCUUACCAAGGCAACGAUGCAUAGCCGACCUGAGAGGGUGAUCGGCCACACUGGAACUGAGACACGGUCCAGACUCCUACGGGAGGCAGCAGUAGGGAAUCUUCCGCAAUGGGCGAAAGCCUGACGGAGCAACGCCGCGUGAGUGAUGAAGGUCUUCGGAUCGUAAAACUCUGUUAUUAGGGACGAACAUAUGUGUAAGUAACUGUGCACAUCUUGACGGUACCUAAUCAGAGAGCCACGGCUAGGUACGUG
rnacentral:rRNA from 1 species